rnacentral:rRNA from 1 species
GUGGGGAAUAUUGCACAACGGGGGAAACCCUGAUGCAGCAACGCCGCGUGAGUGAUGAAGGCCUUCGGGUUGUAAAGCUCUGUCUUUGGGGACGAUAAUGACGGUACCCAAGGAGGAAGCCACGGCUAACUACGUGCCAGCAGCCGCGGUAAUACGUAGGUGGCAAGCGUUGUCCGGAUUUACUGGGCGUAAAGGGAGCGUAGGUGGAUAUUUAAGUGGGAUGUGAAAUCCCCGGGCUUAACCUGGGGGCUGCAUUCCAAACUGGAUGUCUAGAGUGCAGGAGAGGAGAGUGGAAUUCCUAGUGUAGCGGUGAAAUGCGUAGAGAUUAGGAAGAACACCAGUGGCGAAGGCGACUCUCUGGACUGUAACUGACACUGAGGCUCGAAAGCGUGGGGAGCAAACAGGAUUAGAUACCCCAGUAGUCC